rnacentral:tRNA from 1 species
GUUCUUAUAGUAUAAUUUAAUAUUUUAGUUUGUCGUACUAAUGAUCUCUCAUAGAGUAAGAAUU